GGAUAAGGGUGCUGGCAUACCACCAGCUAUCAAGAGUAUGCAGAAUGUAUGUCUAAAAUGAAGAUUUACUAAUGCUUCAGGCAAAACUAUAUAGGAAAGGAAAGUCUAUGGGAGCUGGAAUAACUCAUGUUACUGGCAGCAAUACAGAAAACCUGGAUUUCUCCAAGGUCACACCAGCAGACCUAUGUUAAGCUGUUGCCUUUGCAGCAUAAUAUGUUUGAGAGAAGACCUAGUGCCCAAGACAGACCUGGACACCAAAGG